rnacentral:rRNA from 1 species
UACGUAGGGGGCAAGCGUUGUCCGGAAUCAUUGGGCGUAAAGAGCGUGUAGGCGGCUUGGCAAGUCUGGUGUGAAAUCUUGCGGCUCAACCGCAAGCGGUCACUGGAAACUGCCUCGCUAGAGUCCGGAAGAGGAGAGCGGAAUUCCUGGUGUAGCGGUGGAAUGCGCAGAUAUCAGGAAGAACACCCGUGGCGAAGGCGGCUCUCUGGGACGGUACUGACGCUGAGGCGCGAAAGCGUGGGGAGCGAACAGG